AAUAGGAUAAGCUAAACAAGCUAUUGAGUUCAUACCUCAACGAUAAAACCCUUUUCUUAUUA
rnacentral:tRNA from 1 species